UGGGAUUGUCCGCUAAAGUGGCCUUAGGCA
rnacentral:piRNA from 1 species